AACAUACGAACAGUCCAUCUACCAGCCUAUGAUCAGUUACACUACAGAUAGCAGCAACAAUCAUAUUAUAACUAUGUAGGCCUGAGAGGCACAGGGAAGGUAUUCAUCUUCUGGUGCAUUCAACAUUUUGAAAUCUCAAUCUUUUUGUGUUCUACAUUCCCUUCUUCAUCUCUGAAGACAGGCAACUGAAUGACUAUUUGCAAAUCUUGUUUUGAUGAAAUAUUUUCCAUCAUCAACGUUUGAUAUAGGAUUGCUAGGUAUUGACCAUUCUAAACAAAUCAUAUGCUCUGCUAAGUGUAUUUUGUUCCCCGUUGAACAAAUCAAUGGGACCAUUUGAGUUUAUAGUAGACACAUAUGUGUGCCACCAAACUCGGUAGUUUAUUAUGUCUUCCCAAUGACUCAACAAGCAUAAACGCAAAAUGCUCUGUGAAGAUUGGUUUCAUAAGGUAAGAGUCAUUACAACC
rnacentral:lncRNA from 1 species